AACCUCCGCAAUGUGAGAAAUCGCGACGGGGGGAUCCCAAGUGCCAUUCUUAACGGGAUGGCUUUUCAUUAGUGUAAAGAGCUUUUGGAAUAAGAGCUGGGCAAGACCGGUGCCAGCCGCCGCGGUAACACCGGCAGCUCUAGUGGUAACAAUUUUUAUUGGGCCUAAAGCGUCCGUAGCCGGUUUAAUAAGUCUCUGGUGAAAUCCUGUAGCUUAACUGUGGGAAUUGCUGGAGAUACUAUUAGACUUGAGACCGGGAGAGGUUAGAGGUACUCCCAGGGUAGAGGUGAAAUUCUGUAAUCCUGGGAGGACCGCCUGUUGCGAAGGCGUCUAACUGGAACGGUUCUGACGGUGAGGGACGAAAGUUGGGGGCGCGAACCGGAUUAGAUACCCGGGUAGUCCUAACUGUAACGAUGCGGACUUGGUGUUGGGGUGGCUUUGAGCUGCUCCAGUGCCGAAGGGAAGCUGUUAAGUCCGCCGCCUGGGAAGUACGGUCGCAAGACUGAAACUUAAAGGAAUU
rnacentral:rRNA from 1 species